rnacentral:rRNA from 1 species
CUACGGGUGGCAGCAGUGGGGAAUAUUGGACAAUGGGGGAAACCCUGAUCCAGCAAUGCCGCGUGUGUGAAGAAGGCCUGCGGGUUGUAAAGCACUUUCGGUUGGGAGGACUGCUUCUAGCACUAAUAUUGUUGGAAGUUGACGUUACCUUCAGAAGAAGCACCGGCUAACGUCCGUGCCAGCAGCCGCGGUAAUACGGAGGGUGCAAGCGUUAAUCGGAAUUACUGGGCGUAAAGCGCGCGUAGGCGGCUAGAUCAGUCGGGUGUGAAAGCCCCGGGCUUAACCUGGGAACUGCAUCCGAUACUGUCUAGCUUGAGUACAGGAGAGGAGAGUGGAAUUCCACACGUAGCGGUGAAAUGCGUAGAUAUGUGGAGGAACACCAAUGGCGAAGGCAGCUCUCUGGCCUGAUACUGACGCUGAGAUGCGAAAGCGUGGGGAGCAAACAGGAUUAGAUACCCUAGUAGUC